GCCUGGGUGGCUUAGUGGGUUGGGCCUCUGCCUUCAGCUCAGGUCAUGAUCUCAGGGUUGUGGGAUCGAGUCCCACAUCGGGCU
rnacentral:tRNA from 1 species